UCGGGAAUUUUGGGCAAUGGGCGAAAGCCUGACCCAGCAACGCCGCGUGAGGGAUGAAGUAUUUCGGUAUGUAAACCUCGAAAGAAUGGGAAGAAUAAAUGACGGUACCAUUUAUAAGCUCCGGCUAACUACGUGCCAGCAGCCGCGGUAAUACGUAGGGAGCAAGCGUUGUUCGGAUUUACUGGGCGUCAAGGGCGCGUAGGCGGCGCGGUAAGCCACUUGUGAAAUCUCUGAGCUUAACUCAGAACGGCCAAGUGAUACUGCUGUGCUAGAGUGCGGAAGAGGCAACCGGAAUUCUUGGUGUAGCGGUGAAAUGCGUAGAUAUCAAGAGGAACACCUGAGGCGAAGGCGGGUUGCUGGGCCGACACUGACGCUGAUGCGCGAAAGCCAGGGGAGCAAACG
rnacentral:rRNA from 1 species